rnacentral:lncRNA from 1 species
UCCUUUUCUAAGCUGUAAUUGGUGUUUCCGUGAAGGCAGGGGCACAAGGAUUGGACCCAUUGGUCUACCGGAAUAAUGGAAAUUAUUGUUGGAGUAACUGUCAACACGGCACAUGGCUACGGUUAGUGGAACAUGGUAGACCACUCAAUUCCCCUUGUCCACGCCUGAAUUCCUGAAGAACGGAUUUAAUUUCUAGUAAUAAUUUAUGGUUAGUCAGAUUUCACCUUUUUUUAGGGAAACUCGGAUUUCAUCUUUGUUUGAGGCAAACUCGGAUUCAUUUUUGUAGGGAAAUUUGGAUUUUGUAUGGAGAUGUAUAGUCUAUGAGGCUGGGAUUGAAUCGGUCAAUUGCUGUUACAAGCUUGUGAAGAUGUAUGGUUCAUCCUCUGAUCCUCUCUUGUGCUGACUGUUACACUUAAAGCAAGACAAAGCAGCAAAAAGGUAUUCCUGAUUGCUAUUUCCAUCCUCUACCCCUGCUGGCCUGUCAAGUCUUGGUUCAGAAAAAUAGCUAUGGCCUAUCAAACUUCAACCUGGCUAUGGGCAUGAAAAUCUUCCUGUGAGCAAGAAAUUUGUUCAGAUUUACAGAAACUGCUAGUUGCUACUGUUCUGAGUUUUCUAGAAUAUCUGUUUCACCUUUACCGAAUUACCAUUAUCGUGCAAUUUAAUUAAAUGAAAAGUGCCAAUCUGGUUCCAGAAAUAUUGUAUUUGUUUAGAGGAAUUAAGAAAACACUGAAAUUUAUUUGUCCCUUGAUACAGACGAACUCUGGAUCCUGGAGAAAAUUUCACACAAUUAUGGCUCUCAUUUCAUGCAUCCGAAAAUCAUGAUGUUUUAUUGAUUUCGCUUCUCACUGCAUCCAAGAGCUUCCGUUGACUUGACUUGACUUGGCAUGGCACAGCUGGGCACCUGUCAAGCACUUUAUGAGGAACAAGAACAGAAGGCUGAUGUCUGACUGUUCUUCUGUAUACCACUAGAAAAUUUGACCAGUGGGAUCACCGCCAGAGGCGCGUCGAGUCCUUUUCUAUGACUGGGAGGAUGGCUGUGGCUGUGGCUGUGACGUGUUUACACUGCAUUGGCGCUUCCGUGAAGGCAGGGGCACAAUGACUCGACCCCAUUGGUCUACCGGAAUAAUGGGGCAGUAACUGUCAACACGGCUACGGUUAGUAGGGCACUGUAGAGUGUAGACCACUCAAAUCCGGUGCUCCACGUUUGAGUUUUUGAAAAAUGGAUAUAAACUGAACCGUAAAAGAUGUCUUAUCUUUAGUUAAGGAGGUA